rnacentral:rRNA from 1 species
ACUCCUACGGGUGGCUGCAGUGGGGAAUAUUGCACAAUGGGGGGAACCCUGAUGCAGCCAUGCCGCGUGAAUGAAGAAGGCCUUAGGGUUGUAAAGUUCUUUCGGUGACGAGGAAGGUUGGUAGGUUAAUAGCCUAUCAAAUUGACGUUAAUCACAGAAGAAGCACCGGCUAACUCCGUGCCAGCAGCCGCGGUAAUACGGGGGGUGCGAGCGUUAAUCGGAAUAACUGGGCGUAAAGGGCACGCAGGCGGUGACUUAAGUGAGAUGUGAAAGCCCCGAGCUUAACUUGGGAAUUGCAUUUCAUACUGGGUCGCUAGAGUACUUUAGGGAGGGGUAGAAUUCCACGUGUAGCGGUGAAAUGCGUAGAGAUGUGGAGGAAUACCGAAGGCGAAGGCAGCCCCUUGGGAAUGUACUGACGCUCAUGUGCGAAAGCGUGGGGAGCAAACAGGAUUAGAUACCCUGGUAGUCCACGCUGUAAACGAUGUCGAUUUGGGGAUUGGGCUUUAAGCUUGGUGCCCGUAGCUAACGUGAUAAAUCGACCGCCUGGGGAGUACGGCCGCAAGGUUAAAACUCAAAUGAAUUGACGGGGGCCCGCACAAGCGGUGGAGCAUGUGGUUUAAUUCGAUGCAACGCGAAGAACCUUACCUACUCUUGACAUCCAUGGAAUCUUGUAGAGAUACGAGAGUGCCUUCGGGAACCAUGAGACGGGUGAUGCAUGGCUGUCGUCAGCUCGUG